GGGUGCGAUCAUACCAGCACUAAUGCUCCGGAUCCCAUCAGAACUCCGAAGUUAAACGUGCUUGGGCGAGAGUAGUACUAAGAUGGGUGACCUCUUAGGAAGUCCUCGUGUUGCACCCC
rnacentral:rRNA from 1 species